rnacentral:rRNA from 1 species
GGGGAAUAUUGGGCAAUGGGCGCAAGCCUGACCCAGCAACGCCGCGUGAAGGAAGAAGGCCCUCGGGUUGUAAACUUCUUUUAUUCGGGACGAAACAAAUGACGGUACCGAAUGAAUAAGCCACGGCUAACUACGUGCCAGCAGCCGCGGUAAUACGUAGGUGGCAAGCGUUAUCCGGAUUUACUGGGUGUAAAGGGCGUGUAGGCGGGAGAGCAAGUCAGACGUGAAAUUCCAGGGCUCAACCCUGGAACUGCGUUUGAAACUGUUCUUCUUGAGUGAUGGAGAGGCAGGCGGAAUUCCGUGUGUAGCGGUGAAAUGCGUAGAUAUACGGAGGAACACCAGUGGCGAAGGCGGCCUGCUGGACAUUAACUGACGCUGAGGCGCGAAAGCGUGGGGAGCAAACAGG